GGGCGAGUGGCGGAAUUGGCAGACGCGCUAGACUUAGGAUCUAGUGGGCAACCGUAAGAGUUCAAGUCUCUUCUCGCCCA
rnacentral:tRNA from 1 species